rnacentral:misc_RNA from 1 species
CUCUCUCAAACCCCCGGGUUUGGUAUUGAGUGAUACUCUUAGUCGAACUAGGCGUUUGCUUGAAAAGUAUUGGCAUGGGUAGUACUGGAUAGUGCUGUCGACCUCUCAAUGUAUUAGGUUUAUCCAACUCGUUGAAUGGUGUGGCGGGAUAUUUCUGGUAUUGUUGGCCCGGCCUUACAACAACCAAACAA